rnacentral:rRNA from 1 species
UACGUAGGGGGCAAGCGUUGUUCGGAAUUACUGGGCGUAAAGGGCGCGUAGGCGGCUCAUACAGUCAGGCGUGAAAUUCCUGGGCUCAACCUGGGGACUGCGCUUGAGACGUGUGGGCUUGAGUGGGGAAGAGGGUCGUGGAAUUCCCAGUGUAGAGGUGAAAUUCGUAGAUAUUGGGAAGAACACCGGUGGCGAAGGCGGCGACCUGGUCCUUGACUGACGCUGAGGCGCGAAAGCGUGGGGAGCAAACAGG